GGCUGAACUGGCAGCCAUGAACAUCAAGAUGACCCUCAAACUAAGUAAUGAGGCUGGAGCUUGAUACACAUUUCUGGCGGUUGGAAUAUUCUAAUGUCUAGAUGCAAGCUGGGAGCUUGAUUACCAUUUCAUCUGUACCUGUAGUUUCUCAAUGUGCAACAUGUCCAAAAAGGUGUUUGCAGCAUCAGAUAACUGGAUUCUGGCAACAGUGAUUUGGUUUUAUAAUUUGAAGGCCAGUUUCCUAGUGGGCUACUGAGAAAGAGAGUGUGCUGCAAACAAG
rnacentral:misc_RNA from 1 species